AAGUCGUAACAAGGUCUCCGUUGGUGAACCAUUUNGAGGGAUCAUUACAGGAGUUGCAAGGGCUCCCACAAACCAUCGCAGAAUCUUACCCGUACGGUUGCCUCGGCGCUGGCGGUCCGGAAGGCCCUCGGGCCCCCCGGAUCCUCGGGUCUCCCGCUCGCGGGAGGCUGCCCGCCGGAGUGCCGAAACCAAACUCUUGAUAUUUUAUGUCUCUCUGAGUAAACUUUUAAAUAAGUCAAAACUUUCAACAACGGAUCUCUUGGUUCUGGCAUCGAUGAAGAACGCAGCGAAAUGCGAUAAGUAAUGCGAAUUGCAGAAUUCCGUGAAUCAUCGAAUCUUUGAACGCACAUUGCGCUCGCCAGUAUUCUGGCGAGCAUGCCUGUUCGAGCGUCAUUUCAACCAUCAAGCUCUGCUUGCGUUGGGGAUCCGCGGCUGCCCGCGGUCCCUCAAAAACAGUGGCGGGCUCGCUAGUCACACCGAGCGUAGUAACUCUACAUCGCUAUGGUCGUGCGGCGGGUCCUUGCCGUAAAACCCCCCAAUUUCUAGGUUGACCUCGGAUUAGGUAGGAAUACCCGCUGAACUUAA
rnacentral:rRNA from 1 species